rnacentral:rRNA from 3 species
AACGGCGAGUGAAGCGGCAAGAGCUCAAAUUUGAAAUCUGGCCUCCCCCGGGGGCCCGAGUUGUAAUUUGCAGAGGAUGCUUCGGGUGCGGCCGCCGUCUAAGUUCCUUGGAACAGGACGUCAGAGAGGGUGAGAAUCCCGUCUUGGGCGGGCGGUCCGCGCCCGUGUGAAGCUCCUUCGACGAGUCGAGUUGUUUGGGAAUGCAGCUCUAAGCGGGUGGUAAAUUUCAUCUAAAGCUAAAUAUUGGCCGGAGACCGAUAGCGCACAAGUAGAGUGAUCGAAAGGUUAAAAGCACCUUGAAAAGGGAGUUAAACAGCACGUGAAAUUGUUGAAAGGGAAGCGCUUGCGGCCAGAUUCGGGGGCGGGGUUCAGCGGGUGCUCGUCGCCCGUGUAUUCCUCGUCUCCCGGGCCAGCAUCAGUUUCGACGGCCGGUCAAAGGCCCCCGGAAUGUGUCGUCUCUCGGGACGUCUUAUAGCCGGGGGUGCAAUGCGGCCCGUCGGGACUGAGGAACGCGCUCCGGCUCGGAUGCUGGCGUAAUGGCCGUAAGCGGCCCGUCUUGAAACACGGACCAAGGAGUCUAACAUCCACGCGAGUGUUCGGGUGUCAAACCCGUGCGCGCAGUGAAAGCGAACGGAGGUGGGAGCCCUAGGGCGCACCAUCGACCGAUCCUGAAGUCUUCGGAUGGAUUUGAGUAGGAGCGUGGCCGUUGGGACCCGAAAGAUGGUGAACUAUGCCUGAAUAGGGUGAAGCCAGAGGAAACUCUGGUGGAGGCUCGCAGCGGUUCUGACGUGCAAAUCGAUCGUCAAAUUU